CGGAGAGCUGCCACGGACCCCUCCCCCAGGCCUUUGUGAGUGGAUUUAACUUUAAAAACAUCUCCCGUUAGCCUCUGAGGCUGGAAUCUGAUAGAAACUUCAGCCCAGGGCUGCAGGAAACCUGAGUGCCUGGUCUUGCUGCUUCUUUGAGAAAAAGCCACUUGCCUGCCCAGUAUGGUGGUGGUGAAGCUAAGGCCGUCGCUCGUUUUGAAAAGGCCCCUGCCUCACUGGUUUUCAGAGUUGGUCUACAAAUCCCCCAGGAUGGAAAAUUUACAGCCCAGAGAAGCCAGUGUUCAAAUGCACACUGAGAAUCUAGCAAAAGCGCCCACAGACGUCCUCCUCCUCCUCCUUGGCAUCAUCAUCAUUGCAAUCCUCUAUAAAUUGCAGCACCCAUCACCAGCCCCUGGUGGCUACUCACUCACCUGCUGGUAAAUAACAGGACACGUGUGAUGACUGGUUUAUGUGCUAUUUCUGGGGCUUAUGAGCGG
rnacentral:lncRNA from 10 species